rnacentral:tRNA from 2 species
CGCCCAGUGGGCGACGGGCGUGCGGCGCCACCUCGGGGGCGGCGGCGACCCGUUCGCCGCCGGACCCGGCGGC